ensembl:ncRNA lncRNA:CR45308 long non-coding RNA:CR45308
AGUGUGCGAAUCCCGCCCGCUUCCCAAGGACGUAUCCUCGUCAGAACGCCGGAAGAACUUAGGCGGCCAAAAGGACGAGUUCAUUUUGUGAAAAAUAAAUAUUUAAGGAUUUGUUUGCUCUUCUGUGGCCGGUUGUCAUCAAUAAAACGAAUUAUGUACGCAUGGAAAAAUACGAUUUAAAUUUAAACUGCCCACAUGGACUGUUGAUCCAAAUAUUAAAGACAAAUAUCAAUAACUGACCGAGCAAAUACUGGAUGGCUUACAAAAUAUUGAUAUUUAUACAGUUGAGUGGUAGUUAAUGCUUAUUUGGAUAUCCCAAAAAAGCAAUCAAUUUCCAAAAACAACCUAUUAAUUGGAAAAUCAUACAUAAAGUUCCUGGAAAAAUUACAAACUAAAGAGCUUUGAUAUCAAAGAAAUUGAAUUCUUAAGUUACAUAAAUCAUCAAACAGCAAUUUUUAAAUUCCCCAUCCGAAAGUCAACGAGGCUCACAUAAAAAUGUAAGUAACUGGU